rnacentral:tRNA from 1 species
GCCUUCGUGGUGUAAUGGUCAGCACGCUCGACGCGUAACCGAGAGGUCCGUGGUUCGAUUCCCGGCGAAGGCU